AUGGAGGCUACUAGUGAGGGGUUACUAUUGGUUUUGCCAGCAGUGUUUGAAAUGGUUCUGACCAUGACUGAUCCUGUAAUAACACAAAAUUGCAGCAGCUAAAACUUUCCAGCUCCUUCAUGAACGAGGCAUUUUCCUCUUGCAUCUCUUAAUCCAGGCCCUGUGUGAAAUAAACUGACAGCUCUUCAGUUCAGUUGUGCAUCACAAAACCCCAACCAUGACUGGCACACAUUUGUUGCUUUCUCAGUCUCAGGAGAGAGACCAAAAAUUGACUAUGUGGAAAUCACACUCGCAUGAGCCCCUAAGCGUAGUGCUGCGAGAGUCCCUCCAGGUCACCGUUGGUGUAUAUUGGCAGGGCAGUGUGUGUUAGGGAAAUUUGUCCUAUUGCAAAUUGGAAAGAGAACAUGUGCUAUGUGGAACCCUCACUCUGCAGAUCAACAGAUGAAGCCCUGAUUGGUCAGGGAAUGGGUAGAGGAGAGCUGACUCUCCACCCCCAAAGUAAAACCCUGGUUGGCUAAAGAGUUGGGAAGAAAUCCCACACCUCCCUUGUUGAAUGGACAACUGCGCCAGUGGGCAUGUGGAACACAUCAGACCGAGAGUCUAACUCUGGAGCGGCCAGCAGGCUGCUCCCUGCAUCUUUCUGUGUGGCUACUGUGAGUUGGCACAGCAUGCAAAAUUUGGCCAGAGUCCAAAGGGAAGAGGACAUCACAAUGAGAGACUGAUACUGUGGGCUGUGGGGAUGAUUGUUUUCUGAGGAAGCUGCUGUUACUGAUGAAAAGGCUGGAGUGAAUACUUGCCUCCCCAAAGGCUGCAGGAGGGUUCUCCUCACCAAGGCAACAGGUGGGAGUUAGUUUUUUCCAAACAGCAAUGGGACCCUCCACUACAGCUGCUUAUUCAUAUUCUAUCUUGACACCUUUUCCCUUCCUCUUUAAUGAGGUGGCUUGCUUGUUUCUUUCCUCUUGCUUUUUGCUGAGGUUAUAGGACCUAUUGGAAGGCCUCCCACUUGUACACCUUUUCCCAGGGCAAUGGGUCCCCAGGGGAGGCUCCCACUGUUACUGUCUGUUCAUGCACCUGUGCUCUGUAAUGUAUGCCUAAUUUAAAACACAUUAAUGGUAUGAUUCCAUUACAGCUGAUCAAGAUACUGGCUUCAGGAGUACUCCUGGUAGGCUACGAAUCAGCUGUGCUAGAUAAUUUGAAAGUGCUGUGGAUCUGUUCAGAGCUCCAGUGUUAAGUAAGGCAGACAGAGAGCUAUUCAUUAUUAACAAGGCAUUAUGCGUUUUGCUCAGCAAAAGUGCAAGUCUGGGAUGAGCUGAGAUCUAUCGGAGGUGAAGGUUUCAGACAGCCAACUUUACUGUAUGGUUCAACAGAUGUGUCCUUCCAAGUAUCUGUCCACUUUUGAACUCUCCUUCCCAGACACAGUACACCUCUUAGUUCUGACCUGGUUCGCCAAAACUCUUAUAAGUUCUUCACUUCUACUUUGCUUGGCUUGCAUUUUAAGUCUCAUAAAAGGAACUGAUGGUGAAAUUGGUUAGAGGGUUAGAGAGUGGCAUGUUGUAUGUAAAGGGACAAUUUCCAGCUUCCCCCAGUGCUGACCCCUGCCUCUGCUAUUCCAGUCCUGGGCUCCUUCCCCUCUCCCCCCUCCACCUCCAAGUUCUGCAAAGGCACCGCAGUCCCAAAUUGCAGUUCUUCCUUGUCCUUCUGGUCCUGGCCUACCCCCUUCCCCCAGCUAUGGCGAUGAACCUCAAUGCUAACCCACAGCAUUUCCUGUUAUUACAGGCCUGAGCUCCCCCUCAGAGUUCAGCCAGUGCAACUAAAUCCCAAUCUGCAAGACUUAG